CCUGUUCUGGUAGAGAGCUGCAAUUUUCUGACUUUGGCUGCCUAUUUAUCUCCUUGCUCAAGGCUUUGUGAACUCUUUUUGUUCUUUUUCAGGUAUGAAGGUCUUCUUGAGCAUUUCCUGUUUGGGGUGUCUUGUGGCGAUGAACUACCUCAGCUUUUGUUUAUGUGGGAAAGCUUCACAAGGUGCACUUGUACUUCCAACCCUAAGAGACAGAGUGAUGUUCAGCAUGACUCCAUAAUCCUGUGGCCUUGAGAACCUCAGCAGACAUCAGUUAAGUCAUUUAAGGAUAACUGCAAAUUAAAUUAGUUCAUCCUAA